ACGCUGGCGGCAGGCCUAACACAUGCAAGUCGAGGGGUAGAAGAAGCUUGCUUUUUUGAGACCGGCGCACGGGUGAGUAACGCGUAUGCAACCUACCUUAUACAGGGGAAUAGCCCGAAGAAAUUCGGAUUAAUGCUCCAUGGUUUAUCGAUAUGGCAUCGUAUUGAUAAUAAAGAUUUAUCGGUAUAAGAUGGGCAUGCGUAUCAUUAGCUAGUUGGUGUGGUAACGGCAUACCAAGGCGACGAUGAUUAGGGGUCCUGAGAGGGAGAUCCCCCACACUGGUACUGAGACACGGACCAGACUCCUACGGGAGGCAGCAGUGAGGAAUAUUGGUCAAUGGAGGCAACUCUGAACCAGCCAUGCCGCGUGCAGGAUGACGGUCCUAUGGAUUGUAAACUGCUUUUGUACAGGAAGAAACCUCUCUACGUGUAGGGACUUGACGGUACUGUAAGAAUAAGGAUCGGCUAACUCCGUGCCAGCAGCCGCGGUAAUACGGAGGAUCCGAGCGUUAUCCGGGAAUUAUUGGGUUUAAAGGGUUCGUAGGCGGCUUUGUAAGUCAGUGGUGAAAUUUCCUAGCUUAACUAGGACACUGCCAUUGAUACUGCAGAGCUUGAAUAAUAUGGAAGUAACUAGAAUAUGUAGUGUAGCGGUGAAAUGCUUAGAUAUUACAUGGAAUACCAAUUGCGAAAGGCAGGUUACUACGUAUUUAUUGACGCUGAUGAACGAAAGCGUGGGGAGCGAACAGGAUUAGAUACCCUGGUAGUCCACGCCGUAAACGAUGGAUACUAGCUGUUCGGUUUUCGGACUGAGUGGCUAAGCGAAAGUGAUAAGUAUCCCACCUGGGGAGUACGUUCGCAAGAAUGAAACUCAAGGAAAUUGACGGGGGCCCGCACAAGCGGUGGAGCAUGUGGUUUAAUUCGAUGAUACGUCGAGGAACCUUACCAGGGCUUAAAUGUAGAUUGACAGAUUUGGAAACAGAUUUUUCUUCGGACAAUUUACAAGGUGCUGCAUGGUUGUCGUCAGCUCGUGCCGUGAGGUGUCAGGUUAAGUCCUAUAACGAGCGCAACCCCUAUUGUUAGUUACCAGCGCGUAGUGGCGGGGACUCUAGCAAGACUGCCGGUGCAAACCGUGAGGAAGGUGGGGAUGACGUCAAAUCAUCAUGGCCCUUACGAGUAGGGCUACACACGUGCUACAAUGGUCAGUACAGAGGGUUGCGAAGCCGCGAGGUGGAGCUAAUCCCAUAAAGCUGGUCGUAGUCCGGAUUGGAGUCUGCAACUCGACUCCAUGAAGUCG
rnacentral:rRNA from 1 species